AGCGAACGCUGGCGGCAGGCCUAACACAUGCAAGUCGAACGAACCUUUCGGGGUUAGUGGCGGACGGGUGAGUAACACGUGGGAACGUGCCUUUAGGUUCGGAAUAACUCAGGGAAACUUGUGCUAAUACCGAAUGUGCCCUUCGGGGGAAAGAUUAAUCGCCUUUAGAGCGGCCCGCGUCUGAUUAGCUAGUUGGUUGAGGUAAUGGCUCACCAAGGCGACGAUCAGUAGCUGGUCUGAGAGGAUGAUCAGCCACAUUGGGACUGAGACACGGCCCAAACUCCUACGGGAAGCAGCAGUGGGGAAUCUUGCGCAAUGGGCGAAAGCCUGACGCAGCCAUGACGCGUGAAUGAUGAAGGUCUUAGGAUUGUAAAAUUCUUUCACCGGGGACGAUAAUGACGGUACCCGGAGAAGAAGCCCCGGCUAACUUCGUG
rnacentral:rRNA from 1 species